GAACACGCUUCGUAUCCAAGAGCAACGCGCAUGCGACCAUACCAUGUUCUCGACGCGGAGCGUGUACACUCCGUGAUUCAAAUUUUCAAGUUUCAAAUUUCAAAAUUUUCAAAUUCUUAAAUUUCCAAAAUUUCAAAUCUCCAAAUUCUGACAGCUUUAAAUCCUUAAAACUCCAAAUUUCCACAUUUGGUAAUGCCUGGUUCAAGCUUCUUCAAGCUAUUAACGUAUUUUAUCCAUUGCAUAUAUGACCGGCGAAGAGGAACGCAUAUGGCAGUAGAACAACUCUUGAUCAAAUGAUACUUACCGAAAAAGGGAGCUCCUCCCUGGAAGUCGGACUCCAGUUACGCAAUACGAUCCGCGAGAGAACACGUGAAAACACAGACUGUACUGUCAAGUCGAUCGGAGCGUCGUCUGCUACGAUAUUUCAACCAGGAACUACACACGAUGCAAGUUAUUCCACUCGAUUUAAUCAAAGUGCAUGUCUGCUUUCAUGUAGUUACAAAAUAAAGUCUUUCGAAUGAUAA